AAUCUCUGAAAGGUAUUUUGCUUUUUUUUUUUUGUUCAAACAUUAAAAAUAAAAAAAAAAUCCAACCAUGAGGAAUAAGCUCAGCAUAACUGAUUUCAAUCAAAAUUCUUAAAAAAUUCAGUAGUAACAAGCCAUCCUAUGAUAGGAAAUGUAUUAAAUAACAAGUGAUGUAAGCAAUUCCAGUAGCUCAAUUAACACAGACAUUAUGGGCAGCAUAAGAAAUUGCCUGACGGAGUUUGAUUUCACAGGAAAAGUUUUCUUCCAGAAAAGUCCUGCUCCAUGACAGCAGGUAAUGGAAGAAGGAAAAAGAAACCCAUUAGCUGCAGUUCUUCAAACACUGUUUCCAUACUCAGUGGAAAUGGAAAGGUGAGGCAUCCAUGUGGUACAUACAAGGGAUAAAGACAAAAGGAAUAAUAAGUUGUUUAUUGGGUAGUAAAUCAUUCAGUGAUGUGAGGGGUUUCCACAGAACCAGCUCCCAAUUUUCACAAAUUCAGACCAGCCUGCUCUACAUCAAGUGACAGAAUUACAGGAAAUGGCUUUGCACAUAAUGGUACUUUAAGAAAAGCUCAUUUUGAGACAUUUUAACUGGAACUCAGAGCUAAAUUUAAAAUGUUUUUCAAAAGAGUGGGAUUUUUUCCCCAUAUUUUCCUGUACCAUGCAAAAGCAUACAUCGUGAAAGACAUGUUUUAGGGUAGUAAGGGUAGCAUUUUGAAACUAUCAUUUAUUUAACAAGAUUAACUUUUGCUUUCUCAGUAGUAUUUCAUAGAAUUGCAAUAUUUAAAGCAUAUGGCAUUAAAUCUCCUGAAUUGUUAGUGGUAGGAAAGUACAAAUGAUACAGUGAAUAAUAGAAAAAGUUAAAACUUAUCAAUUAAAAGGACUUUUAAUUUGGUAAAAUACUCUGGCCCAUCUCUACAGCUAAGAAUUCAUGAAGUGUUUGACUUCACAGAGAAUAUGCUUUUCCUGCUUAAGGACAUCAAUUUGCAGCAACUGAUAACCUCACACAACCGAGCACGAUGACAAGUGCAGCGAAAGGACAUUGCAGGAGGAGAAGAGGCUGGGGAAGUCACAAGGCUGAACUUGCAGGAGCUGGAACUCUUCUCAGAGAAACCAAGCAGAAAGAACAGUGAUUACUUUCAACAAAUACAGUAUAGAGGAACCUCCUGAAAUGACAGCAAAGCUUUUAGAUUGAAACAUUUGGGUGGGGCCCUCUCAUUCUGUACCUGACAACUAGGCAAGUCCACUCCAAAAAGAUGGUGUUGAAGAAGGCUUGUGAUCCUGAGGAAAGGCAGGCAGAACUGCUGCAGAUCACGCUCUACAGAAUCCGGAUUUACCUAUAGGGCAGGAAGCAAUUACUAAAUUCUGUCCCAGUAUCAUAUUCGACAAUAUAACUUUGGCAGGUAAUGACUACAGAAGGAAGCCACAAAGAGAACCAGAAGCAAAAUUAAGGACAUAGGACCUUUUUUAGUGAAUUUGGAAGGAGAUCUUUGUAUAAAUAACCUUUGAAAAACACUCCUCUUGAUCUAAAGCUUAAACUGUUAUUUGAAAAUUGACUUCAGAACAAAGGAAGACAGCACUGAACUUCAGAUAGUCCCUGAAAGGUAUAUUAAAGUUCCAGGAUACAGAUAAAUUUUUCAGCUUCGACACUGAAACUGGAUACUAUUCAAGUUGAUUACAUCCAUUCUAUAUUUAGUCAAGAACCUUAUCCAAUCAUUAAAGAGAAGUGCUAGUGUUCGACUGA